rnacentral:rRNA from 2 species
ACGGGAGGCAGCAGUGGGGAAUAUUGCGCAAUGGGCGAAAGCCUGACGCAGCAACGCCGCGUGCGGGACGACGGCCUUCGGGUUGUAAACCGCUUUCAGCAGGGAAGAAAUUGACGGUACCUGCAGAAGAAGCUCCGGCUAACUACGUGCCAGCAGCCGCGGUAAUACGUAGGGAGCAAGCGUUAUCCGGAUUUAUUGGGCGUAAAGCGCGCGUAGGCGGGCUAUUAAGCGAGGCGUUAAAGCCCGGGGCUCAACCCCGGCCCGCGCCUCGAACUGGUAGUCUUGAGUUCGGUAGGGGAAAGUGGAAUUCCCAGUGUAGCGGUGAAAUGCACAGAUAUUGGGAAGAACACCGGUGGCGAAGGCGGCUUUCUGGACCGCAACUGACGCUGAGACGCGAAAGCUAGGGGAGCGAACAGGAUUAGAUACCCUGGUA